GACGAACGCUGGUGGCGUGCUUAACACAUGCAAGUCGAACGGUGAAGCGCCUUCCUUUUUGGUGGGUGUGGAUGAGUGGCGAACGGGUGAGUAACACGUGAGUAACCUGCCCCCUUCUUCUGGAUAACCGCAUGAAAGUGUGGCUAAUACGGGAUAUUCUGGGUCUGUCGCAUGAUGGGUCUGGGAAAGAUAUUGUUUCGGUGGGGGAUGGGCUCGCGGCCUAUCAGCUUGUUGGUGGGGUGAUGGCCUACCAAGGCGGUGACGGGUGGCCGGCCUGAGAGGGUGGACGGUCACACUGGGACUGAGACACGGCCCAGACUCCUACGGGAGGCAGCAGUGGGGAAUAUUGCACAAUGGGCGCAAGCCUGAUGCAGCGACGCCGCGUGAGGGAUGGAGGCCUUCGGGUUGUGAACCUCUUUCGCCAGUGAAGCAGGCCUGCCUCGUUUGUGGGUGGGUUGACGGUAGCUGGAUAAGAAGCGCCGGCUAACUACGUG
rnacentral:rRNA from 1 species